CGAGUUCUACAGAGUCGCCAGUAAGAACCUCAAGAAGGACUUCUAUGAAGCUCUGGACCACCAUACCACUCGUCUCAUGGACCUCUUCAAAUCCAAAAAAGGAGUUGUUGGCCAAUCACUUGAUCACCUCCUCUAGCCAAUCAAUUCACAAACCAAUGACAUCACCACAACACGCACUGCCAUCCUUCAAUGCCUGCCCUUGUAUCUUGGAGAUAAUUCUGACAAAUUCUUCAUCAGCUGCCCAGAUUUGGACACAGACUAUGACUUCACCCGUGUGCCUGUUGGCGUUCUAACAAUCAUGACUGAGGACACACCACCAGAGAUUAACAUAAUUGCAAUCAUCCUUGAAGGAAACAUCGUCAUGGAUGAAAUUCCCACAACCUGUCAAGCACUUUGUCUUAUGUUCGGCUUGAUAUAUGCACUCCACCUGGAUUACCCAAAAGGUAUGAAGAACACAUUUGAGUUCAUCCAGAAGAUAUUGUUGAACCUUGGAUCACAAAAGCUCAGCCCAAAACUGAAAACAUUAAAAAAUGCCCUUUUGGGCUAGAUGUUGUAGCCAGUGAUGACUGUAAUGGUUAUCUAUGUAAGUGUUCUGUGUGACUGAGUAUGCGUUUGAUGGGGCUGAACAGUAACAAAACAUUAUUGAAUAUUUCAUGGAGUUAUUUUUACUGUAUUGUAUACUAUGUUUUACUUUUUAUGUUUUGAUAAAGAAACUGUGACAGCCCAAUUUGUGGAGCUGCAGAUAUAUCCAUGUUUUCUGAAGACUUUAGAAAAGAUUUUUGAUACACAACACAGUGAUGAUCCUUCUAACACAAAUUUAUAAUCGGCGCAAUAACUGUCAAAAUAAUUGCAGUGUUUUUAUUUAUUUUUUUAUUCAUUUAUUUUUUUUGGUUCAGUUUCAUUUCAUUCCAUGCUCAUCUGAUUCAGUAUUAUGGGUGUUAUGUUACUGCUACCUCAUAACUCCUGAAAGGGAGGAGGUACUUGGGGAGCCCACAGAUUAAAAAAGUUUAAUGGAGGUCAGAAGUAAACCUGUAAAUAUCUAUUUAGAUACAUCCUUGUUAUAUUUGUUGGCUGUUUUUUGCAUUUGUGAUUUGAAAGCCUAAUAAUAGUUUAAAUGCAGGAGAAGAUCGCAUGACCAUGCCAUCAGCACAGGUGUUACAAUUUCCCUGUAAGUAAAAACUGUUGGAAAAGAGCAUACAGUAUGUUGGGUUUAGUAUUAAAAUGUAGUGAGCCUCUGUAACACAGGUUAAAUAUAUCAAAGUUGUUGAAGUGUUCACUUAAGACUUUAAAGAUGUGUGUACAAAUACAGUUCUAUGUAAUAAUACCGUUUUAACUAUCAGGUUUCAAACCAGUUUUAUUUCAUUUUUAAACUUUUACAGACUAAAUGUUGCCAAGUCUGUUUGUUGCUGUGAGACAUUCAGGAAAGUGUCUUUUGUGAGUCAAGAUCCCUCUGUUGGAUUACAUCCAGACCAAUCAGUGCACCUCACUCAAACUCAUUCUAUUAAGUCUCACUCAUUCUGUCAUACAUUAUAUAAAGAUUUUCACUCAUACCGAUUUACACUUUUUCUCUCUCACAAACACAUAAAACUGAAGAAAAAAUAUAGAGAAAGGCAUCAUUCAGCAGGAAUGUGAACAAAUUAGGAUACUACAAGCAAGGAUUAGGUUCUAACUGGUUAAAAUUAUUUCUCUCCCCUGAAAUGAUUGGUCUGUUUUUCUGCUAACAAAGGGUUUGGACUCAACAAUUAAUCGCACAUUUUGUUUGUCCUUCACCUG